rnacentral:rRNA from 1 species
AUGCAAGUCGUACGAGGUAGUCACUUGUGAUUAUCUAGUGGCGGAAGGGUUAGUAAUACAUGGUUAACCUAUCGUAAACACCGGGAUAACGGCUAGAAAUGGUCGCUAAUACCGGAUGUGGUGCUGAGAGGAAUCUUUUAGUUAUUAAAGCAGGGGAUUGGGAAACCGACCUUGUGGUUUAUGAGGGGUCCAUGGGAUAUCAGCUUGUUGGUGAGGUAAUGGCUCACCAAGGCUAAGACGUCUAGGCGGGUUGAGAGAUCGACCGCCAACACUGGGACUGAGACACUGCCCAGACUCCUACGGGAGGCUGCAGUCGAGAAUCUUUCGCAAUGGGCGAAAGCCUGACGAAGCGACGCCGUGUGAGCGAUGAAGGCCUUCGGGUCGUAAAGCUCUUUCGCCCGGGAACAAGAGAUAGUCGUAAAUAGCGGCUAGAUUUGAGUGUACCGGGUAAAGAAGCACCGGCUAACUCCGUGCCAGCAGCUGCGGUAAUACGGAGGGUGCAAGCAUUAAUCGGAUUUAUUGGGCGUAAAGGGGGCUAAGGCGGAAAUAUAAGUCAGAUGUGAAAGAUCGGGGCUCAACCCCGGGAACGCAUUUGAAACUGUAUAUCUAGAGGAUAGGCGGAGAAAGCGGAAUUCCACAUGUAGCGGUGAAAUGCGUAGAUAUGUGGAGGAACACCGGUGGCGAAGGCGGCUUUCUAGCUUAUAUCUGACGCUGAUGCCCGAAAGCUGGGGGAGCGAACAGGAUUAGAUACCCUGGUAGUCCCAGCCGUAAACGAU